GAUGAACGCUAGCGAUAGGCUUAACACAUGCAAGUCGAGGGGCAGCAUGGUCUUAGCUUGCUAAGACUGAUGGCGACCGGCGCACGGGUGCGUAACGCGUAUGCAACUUGCCUCACAGAGGGGGAUAGCCCGUCGAAAGACGGACUAAUACCGCGUACACUCCAUCUUGGGCAUCCAAGGUAGAGGAAAUGAAAUUCGCUGUGAGAUAGGCAUGCGUCCCAUUAGCUAGUUGGUGAGGUAACGGCUCACCAAGGCGACGAUGGGUAGGGGAACUGAGAGGUUGAACCCCCACACUGGUACUGAGACACGGACCAGACUCCUACGGGAGGCAGCAGUGAGGAAUAGUGGUCAAGGGGCGAGAGCCUGAACCAGCCAAGUCGCGUGAAGGAUGACUGUCUUAUGGAUUGUAAACUUCUUUUAUACGGGAAUAACAAGAGUCACGUGUGACUCCCUGCAUGUACCGUAUGAAUAAGCAUCGGCUAACUCCGUG
rnacentral:rRNA from 1 species